rnacentral:rRNA from 1 species
UACGUAGGGUGCAAGCGUUGUCCGGAAUUAUUGGGCGUAAAGAGCUCGUAGGCGGUUUGUUGCGUUCGGCUGUGAAAACCGUGAGGCUCGAACCUCAGGCCUGCAGUCGAUACGAGCAGACUAGAGUGUUGCAGGGGAGACUGGAAUUCCUAGGUGGUAGCGGUGAAAUGCGCAGAGAUCAGGAGGAACACCGGUGGCGAAGGCGGGUCUCUGGGGCCGAUACUGACGCUGAGGAGCGAAAGCGUGGGGAGCGAACAGG